AUGUUACUAGAUCGGGAGUCUGGGUGUCUGGGGGCAGCUGCUAGACAAUUACCUCUAUGCCAGAUACUUGCCAAGGAUCCUGAGCAAAGAUUCUGCCUGACUGUAAGAAAAAGCAUGUUCUCAAUAGAGCAAAAGAAACCCAAUGCUGCCAGCUGCAACUGUCUGAAGAUAAAGAGCUCCAGAUACAAGCCUCACAAAGAAUUUUCUUCAAGGGAAGCUUAAAAUACACACCAUCACAUGAGAGUCACAUGACAUCAGCCAAGACUAAGGCCUUUGGAGACUUCUGGAGAAAGCACUCAAUGGAGUGAUACCAGAGGGGCUGUUCCUGUCAGCCAUGAUUUACGGAUUCUGCAAAAUCAUCUCCCUUCCCUUCUUGUCAUGAAUUAGCUGUGCUCAGCUGGCUGAACUUCUUUUUAUUAGUUUAUUUUUGUUUAUAGAAACAAUACAUGAUGGGGCCCCUGGGUGGCUCAGAUGAUUAAGUGUCUGACUUCGGUUCAGGUCAUGAUAUCACCAUUUGUUAGUUUGAGUCCUGCAUCAAGCUCUUUGCUGAUAGCUCAGAGCCUGGAGCCUACUUCCGAUUCUGGGUCUUCCUCGCUCUCUGCCCCUCCCCCACUCACACUCUGUCAAUCUCUCUCUCAAAAAUAAAAUAAAAAAACAUUAAAAAAAUACA
rnacentral:lncRNA from 1 species